UGGCCAAUCAGAUUCCUCGUACUUCUGGUAAAGCCAUAACACAACGUUAACACAACUGGUUAAGGGAUGAGAGCAAACGAAGGAAAAGUAGCAUGGCUGAAUGGUACAGGUGUCUGUCUGUGGAGAAGUCAGAGACUGUCACUACACAACCAGGUAGAAUGGUGAAAUGCAGGUAAGCAAGGUGUGUAACAUCAACUUAACUAUAAUUAUAAGGACAAUGUAGAUUAAGAAAUGUCAAACCAACCUAUGCUUGUUGAUGGCCUAAAUGACUGGGUUCCAUGCCAUCCUCCUCUGAGUCACUGCUGUCUGAUGUGCAGGUUCAUCCUGGAUGACCUCUUCAGCAGUUAGCUCCUCUACAUAGACAAAGUCAUUUCUGGCUGCUUUAAGGAAUUUAAGGCAUGGAUGGGACUUAGGAAGCCUUGAUUUUAAGCUAAAUGCUUUAUAAGUCUAAAUGUCCAGUCCUUCCUUAUCUCUAACAAUUUCCUUAAAGAGGUCAUUUAGCCGUGAAAGCCUCAACACUUCACGGUUUGCCAGUAGGCGCUCUUCCACCACUGUCUGUAGCCUGCCUGAUACGGAUUUGCCUCUACAGAAACCUCUCUUUGUUCCUCUCAGGUAUCUUGUGUAAUUUGCUAAUCAACUGUGGUGAUAAAUGGCCUCUUCCACGGAUUUGAAGCAACAGGUGCUCAUCCUUCUUCCCCUCAGCAGCACGAAGGAGUUGAUCUGCUGUGGCAUGCAACAGGCAGGAGGUGUGGAGCCCUUUUGGGUUGUUCUGGGCCACUUGAAGAGCGCAGAACCCGAACCUUGGAUGCAGCACCAUCACUGGUAUCUGGCAGCGGUUCUUCUGAACAUUGUAAUGGCACUAAAAUGUAAGUUAAAAGUGCUCAAUAAAUGGAAAUGAUCUAAAUUAACAUUGUUUCUAACAUUUGUAAAUAAUAAAAAAAAAAACAUA